rnacentral:tRNA from 1 species
GUCGCUGUGGCCGAGUGGUUAAGGCGAUUGACUAGAAAUCAAUUCCUUUCGGGGGCAUAGGUUCGAGUCCUAUCGGCGACG